GUGGGGAAUAUUGGACAAUGGGCGGAAGCCUGAUCCAGCAAUACCGCGUGUGUGAAGAAGGCCUGAGGGUUGUAAAGCACUUUCAAUAGGAAGGAACACCUACCGGUUAAUACCCGGUAGACUGACAUUACCUAUACAAGAAGCACCGGCUAACUCCGUGCCAGCAGCCGCGGUAAUACGGAGGGUGCAAGCGUUAAUCGGAAUUACUGGGCGUAAAGCGUGCGUAGGCGGCUCGUUAAGUCAGAUGUGAAAGCCCCGGGCUUAACCUGGGAAUGGCAUUUGAUACUGGCGGGCUAGAGUUGAGUAGAGGGGAGUGGAAUUUCAGGUGUAGCGGUGAAAUGCGUAGAGAUCUGAAGGAACACCAGUGGCGAAGGCGACUCCCUGGACUCAAACUGACGCUGAGGUACGAAAGCGUGGGUAGCAAACAGGAUUAGAAACCCCUGUAGUCC
rnacentral:rRNA from 1 species